rfam:Loxodonta africana unplaced genomic scaffold scaffold_2, whole genome shotgun sequence.
GCAUUGGUGGUUCAGUGGUAGAAUUCUUGCCUUCCAUCCUGGAGACCUGGGUUCAAUUCCCGGCCAAUGCA